rnacentral:tRNA from 1 species
GUCUCAGUGGCGCAAUGGUAGCGCGUUGGACUUCUACCGUACACUCUCUCUGUCUGUUAGUCACAUCCAAAGGCUGCGGGUUCGAGCCCCGCCUGAGAUG